CGCGGGGUUUCGGCGCAAACAGAGGAUCCCGUCAGAUUCAGGCGGCCAGAACUCCUCCUCACCCAGGCCACCCCCCGGGGCCCACAGCCUGGACAGCUACGGGCGUGGCGCCUGCGGCACCGAGACCCCAGGCGAGAGUGUGGAGGCGGCGGCGGCUUCCCCGCGACCGUGAACAACGACGCCAUUAUCAGCACCCCCUGCCGGCGCCUCCGGCGCAGCCCGCGCAGGAUAUUUUGAAAAGCGCCGGAGAGCUAGGUGAAGAGCUGGGCUCCCAAGGGGGUGAUAGAACCAGCCCGCGGCCCGGCCUCCUCCUCCCGCUUCCCAUUCGCAGCCCGCCUCCCGCCGGGAAGCGGCCCGGCUGCUGCAGAACGGCCGCGCCUGCCCUCCCGGUUUCUCCCGUCCAGUCUUCACCGUCCUUUCCCAGAGAAAGCGACAGCACAGCCUAUGACAACCGAAGCUAAAACGGAAAAACUGGGCCGGGCGCAAGAGGAAACCAGAGCCAUUCGACUAUUGCUAGAGGAGAGGAAUAGCUGCAGGAAAACAUGCGCAAAAUAGCACAAACAUUGCGUCGUCAAGGCUGCAAUGUCUAAUACAAAAUAGAAGGUUCUCAUAGCAACAAAAACGUGCCCAUGUUGUGCUCAGUAUUACAUGCGUUAAAAUGUUCUUAGUUGUGAAAUUUGACAUGACCGCUAGUUAAAGUUACAAUGGAAGUUUUAAAUCCCGCUUUCCGAAAACUUUGCAGCUAUAGCAUGAAGUUAA
rnacentral:lncRNA from 1 species